AUAAAACCAGGGAGCUGGUAUCAGGAAGGGGGCUAUAGCCAUUCUUCCUAGGACAAGGGCAAGAAAGAGAUUUGGACCCAAGAGGAAGGGUUUGUCUACCAGAUCCAGGAGACAGGGGUUUAGCUAGAAGGGUGGAGAAUGCGAGCCUAGGAUAAGCAAGGUAGGAAGAAAUCCAGGGAAGUGGCAGGAAGGUUUGUGUUUGCCCAGACCUUUGCUGCUGCAAAGAGGGCCCCAGGCCUGGAACCCAGCUUAGGGGGUGGGCCAGGGUUCCCUGGCCAGGGUUCCCUAACCAGUCAUGGUGUGAGAAGCUCAGUCUGGGUAGUGAAAUAGGACCCAGUCUGGGACUCUUUAUUCUUGCCAUUGAGGGAGUGGCCCAGAUGUGGCAGUAGAAUUAAGGACUGCCUAGGAUGAUGUGGAAGACUGUGACAGUACCCCAGAAAGGAAGGACUCUUGUGGCUAAACCAUGAAGAUAGGUACAGCAGGUCCCCAAGAGUAAGAGAGUGGCUCCAAACCAAGAGAGUGAGACAACAGGCCAAGGAGAGGGUGUUGGACUGAAUGAGCUAAUUCCCAGAGUUGCCUAUGGUGUGUAGAGAUUGCUGGAGGACUGCAAGAAGAGGGAGUUGGACUGAAUGAGCUAAUUCCCAGAGUCGCCUAUGAUUUAACUACACAUUUGAGUGAGUAGACACACUCCCAGGAAUAUCCAGAAGAGUGCAGAUGAACCGGAGGGCUUCAAGUCAACCCCAUGCAUUAGACAUUAGAGAAGAAUAAAAAGAAAAGAGCUGUUCCAGUGCCUUGGCAACAAAUAUGUCCUGAGCUUGAAAAAUCUGAAAGGAUGAUCAGUCACUUUCUAAAAAGAAACUGUCCAUAAUGCCCUUCUCAAUGAACUGAUGUCACUGUGGGUGAGGCAUGAUGAUGUUUGAUACAAUACUCCUGCUACAAUAAGCCAGCAGAAAAGAUACAAGGUCCCAACCUUGCAAGCAAUUCACACUGCAAACACAACAUUAACCUCAGUGGGAUUACUCCUGGUGGUAAAGUGAAGCACAUGUAAUAAAACAUUUAAGCAUGCACAAAUGUUUGUAGGAGCUGGGCCUAAUAAUCAAAAUCACAAAACUUUUAAUAUAAUAUGGAGUACCUGGCCCUCGCCAGGGUAACCUACCAUUUUCUUACAGGGUAUUGGAUGUAAGAGUAGCUGCCAAGCAGUGGUACCAACUCUUGUCAUGUGUCAGAUGAGAGAGAAAAGAAUUCUAAUUUUAAAAAUAAUGUUCAUGUACACUUUUAGUGGGCAUCCAGUUGAACCAGUGUAGCUUUGGAAAGGGGAGGGUUCUUCUGUUUCCAGUACAUAGCAAAGGCUUUCUUUUAG